GCUGCGUGUGGCCAUCUGCAAACUGCCACCCCCAGGGGAGGAGCGCUGAUGAGACCUGUGGGAUCCUUUGCCCCCAGAGGGGAGCAUUUAGCAUUCGUGCAUACACAUUUCUCCAGAUAAGGGUUAGAACCAGCUACUCCUCAGGGGCUCCUGUUAGGAGGCUGCAUUUAUAGAAGAGGUGUGAGAAAUUGUUCAAGAAUUCAAGGCAUUUUUCUUUGCCUUGGAUGGAAAAUAGGUAGUGAUUGCUCUGAUCCUCAGACAGGGCCGCGGGGUUUUUCUGAGGGCUUCCCGCCCCAGUGCCGUGCUAGGAACUCGCUUUGGCUUCAUGUUUGCAUGUUGGCCGGAGGAGAGGCCCGGAGUGUUGAAGUGACUCGCCCAGUGCUGUCACUGAACCAGUGUGUCUCAGGGAUUGUGAUGUGUGUGCUGUGGCUCCACUCAACUCCAAAGCCAGCGGCUGUACCGUCCUGCCUUUUUUUAGAUUUUAUCCUAGAUGCCCGGGCUUUUGUUCAAAAGUAGUUGUUUUCACUUAAAACCCCAAAGCAGGAGUAGAGGGUGUUCAGAUAACCCGAAGUGGAAGUGGGUGCGGAGGGCGAGGCCUCGGCUAGAAUUCGGGCCUCGCUGUUUCCUCAGAGAUGGUUUGAGUUGCAGUGAGGGUCAUGUGUUAAACCCCGCCCCAAAUGGCAUCAGGGACACCCUGUAUGCUCUGCCUGGAUCUGCAGCGGCAGAAGGCCAGGCUGGCCCCACAGGGUUCCCCAGCGUUGGAAGCAGAGAGAGCCUGGGACUCUCUGCAUCCUAAGAAAAUAGAGUGAGGGGUGUGGCACGCACGAGGCAGACAGAGCCUCUGGCUGCUGGUUCCGCAGCACCUGUCACCUGUCACUCAGUCACAUUCAUCCUCAGGCAGGCUCCUUUCCCUUCAGGGCAGGAGGCCCUGCUGGGGGCUUGCUGUUGGUGCUCGGGCUGAGAUGCAGUGGGGGCACAGAGGAAGAAGGGGACCGGGAUUCUGCUGCAGCCUCUGCCACCAUCUGCUGCUCAGCCCUUUGGGCAAGUAUUUCCUGAGUGGACAGAUGCUUGCAGCAGAGUGACCUGGGACUGACCAAUGAUCCUCCCUCCAUCGCCUGAGGACAGAAUGGGGCCUCUCCCAGGAGCGCUGUACAGAUCAACAAUCCCACGCUCUGGUUAAAUAGACCAGUUGUGUGGUUAGUUGGGGAUUCAGAUGGCUGUGCCUUCUUGCCAUUCCUGGAAUGUCUCUUAAACUGAGCGGCUUGUGCUGACUGAGAAGCGCACCUGCUCCCCCACGUGGGCAGCACUGCUCUCUCGUGAGGCCUGCAUGUCCACUACAGUGACCCAUAUUCUCCGCAGCCCCAAGACGUGGGUCUUAUUAUCUCAGGAGUCUCUUGUGCAUCCCAGGCAGACACUGUCAUUCCCAUUUGACAGCUGAGGAAGCUGAGGGUGUGAAGCGUGAAGCAGCUCAGGGGGCUGGUAGGAGAUAGGAGGCCAGGUCUCUGGGUACCAGCACAGCCCUCGUUCCAUCAUCCUGGGCACCUGCAGAUGCAUGACCCCAGGGAGCUCUGACAACAUGUUUUCUGCUUGUAUUUUUUGAUGAUUACUUAUUUUUCCUGAUGAUGACAGCAUGUUCAUUACAGAAGAUAUAGAAUAUAGAGCAAAGUAUAAAUAAGACAAUAAAACGCCAACUGUCCCGCCACUUGGGGAGCCUAGGAACUUUGUAAACAGAGGUCGUGCUUCAUCUCCCUGAAGGCUCGUUAUAAUUAAGCCACAGAAAGAAUUUCAAAUCCCCUUCUUGUCCCUUUUUAUUCCGUAACUCUUCCAACCUCCACGCCGGCCUGGGUGCUGGAUUCUAAAACCACAGGCUAAAGUCCUCCAGGCCCCUGAGCUGCCCCAGUGUGGCCUGGAUUCCCUGCCGUGUCGCAGCUGUGACUUUCUUCCCUGGGGGAGGCAGGCCUCCAUGGCAGAAGGGGGGGAGGAGUUGCUGCACUCUGGAGCAACAGCACUGGCUCCUGUAGGGUGUCCACCCCCCGGGUGCAGGGUCUGAAGGAGCUCGGGAACUCGGGCUUGGGACAGACCUGUGGCCAUGUCUGGAAGAGUCUCACCUGCUGUGCAGCCUCCUUCUGCUGUGGGGAGCUGAGUCCAGGACUAGCCAUUGAGGACAGAGGAAGGCCAGGCCCAGAGGAGGGCUUCAGCAAAGCAGAACUGGAACACAAAGGAAACUGAGGCGGCAGCCCAGAUGGACUGACCGUGAUGCAGGAAAGCUUAGGAGGAGGCUGCGGGAGAGCUGGCCCAGCAGGACAGAGAGGCAGGGGCUGCAGCCGCUGUGGCCCGGAGCCCGGGGCUGGGCUGGCUGCUUCCAGGCAGGGUCAAAGUGGCUCACAUCUCCUGGGGUGCUUUCCUUCCUGGGGCUGCGAAAGGACAUCUGGCAGUGCUGUGAGCCCUCAGAGGCACCUGUUAAGUUGGCACCAUCUACCUGCAGCCUUGGCCAUGACCAUUCCCAGAGACUGGGGGCCCUGAGUGUGUGCGGAGCCCUGUGGGGCUCAGAGAGCUGGGUGAGACCUGGUGCCUGCGCAGGAGGCCAGGGCAGAAUGUGAGUGGGUAGGCCUGCACCCGGCCAGCUGCCAAGCUCACAGGGGCACAGAGCAGGAGGAAUUCCAACUGGUGGGGCCAGGAAGGCGUCCCUGAGAAGCUGGCAUUGGAGCCAGGCCUUGGGGAAGAGUAGGAUUUCAAUAAACAAAGCACACGGGGUGAAGCCUUCUGGGCCCAGGGCUCAGCCUGAGAGGAGGCUGGGCUGAGAGGACAGGGCGUUCCCCUCAGGGUGAGUCUGCAGGUGUUUUCCUCAGGCUGUUUGGGAUUUUAUUGCUCUUUAGCUAGACACUCAUCUUGGUUAGGCACCUGGCCUGUGAAAGCAAGCAAGCAGUCACAGGCCAAAUAUGGGGAUCCAGCGCGAAGCGGGGGGAGUGGGGUGGGCUGAGGUUUGGAGACAGGAGCCCCGGGGCCUGGGCUCCAGCCCCAGUUUUACCUCUUAUAAGUUUUGUUUCUCUGGAGCCUUAGUUUCUCAUCUGUAAAAUGGGCUUACAAUACCUAAUAAUAUGAUACUAACAAGUACUUGGUAAAUAUUAAUAAUAGUACUAAACGUGAAAAAAGGUAGCCUGCUGUUACCGACAGCUAUCGAAUAUCAUGGUGAAAAAUCACGUCAUUUACGCUCAGACCUUUGGUCUCAGUGAACUGCAAGGAGGAAAUGCGUGAAUCUGGACCCCUGUCUCCCAAUUCGGAAGAGGAUUCUGAGUGUAGUUUUCCUCUAGAUGUUUUAGCUCGGCAUUCAAGGCCUCUCAAAGGCUAGCCUCCCCUUCCUUCUCUUGGCUCCGUUCUCUCCUACCAUGACCAUGUGCUGCCCAGCCCCGUGCCUUUCUGUAGAGGCGCUGAGCGAAUUGUCUUCGCUGGUCUCCAGGGAGGUGACCAUCAGAACCCCACACCCAUCCUGCCACCUCCAGCUCCUGUAGAUUCGGGGUCUGGAAUUUGGGCCCCACUGGUCCAGAGCGUCUGUCUGCAACCUGGACUCCUUUGUCAUCGCUGACCAGAGGCCUGGAGAGGCCACCUGAUCCUUCUCCUUGUCAGCUGAUCAUAGUCCUACCCAUUCUUCGAGGCCCAGAUUAUGAGGCAGAAAGCGGGAGAGAACAGGCUGGACCAGGGGUGCUCCAUCCAGGAGGUCUGGACAUGGGGGCUCCAUGUACAGAGGCAGGAGCCACUGGAGUGAGGCAGCUCAGGGAGUGGCAGGUAGGCUUGUUGCUGACCCUGAGGGAUGGCAACAGGGGGCUGAGAAGGAAGAAAGAAACAGAGAGGUCUGGGCUGCCUUUCGUUGGGAGAGUGGCAGGUGCACAUGUCCUUGCCCCUAACUCCUGCCCCCUGGCCUCUGCAGAGGAGAGAGGAUGGGGCCAGACCCCUCCAGGUGCUCCCAGCCUGCGCCGCCGCCGCCUCCCUCCCCACCCCCACGAAGCUGCUCUUAGCCUCCCUGAGCCACGUGUUCGCUGUCUUUGCAAUCAGGGCUUGUAAACCUGUUUUGCUGGCUUAUGGUGAGGAUAAGUGAGGCAAGGUUUGUAAAGAGUCUUAUUUAUUAUUUUCUCUUAGCAGCUGCAUGAAAAAUGUCAUAGGAUCUGCGGGAAAAGUAUAAGUCACUAAAAAUUUAAUGUGAACUGUUAAGUUUGUGAACCACAGGCUGGCGUCACACCAGCUCUCGCUGUCUGAGUGGUGGCCCUGGAUCCGAGCUGGCCUCUGGAGCUGGAAACCUCACCUUUUGCCAGGGCCAAGAAUGAUUCUGACCUAAGCAGGUGUGUCUGCUGGAGCCAGGGCCAGCCGGGGUCCUAGGGCUAGACGUCACAAAGGAGACGGAGGCUGAGCAGGACAUGGCCAGCUGGACAAAGGAGGGCAGCGUGGUUUAGAGCGGAAAGGGCUGAGUGGCCUUGGGAAAAUUAUUAGACCCUUCUGAAACUCAGCUUCUCCAAUAAAAACCAGGAUGAUAAUACCCACAAUGCUUGGAGAAGAAUGACAGGAACUGACUAUUGAAAGCGCCUGGCCGGGUACCUGGCACACAGCAGGUGUGCAUGAUUAUUCUACACUGAGGAAGCUGCGUGUGUGGCCAUCAGUCUGCCUUGGUGCACAGGUGGAAGUCGCUCCAAGUGUAGCCUCUAAAGGUCACCACCUGUCAGGUGUGAUUCGCGUGCUGGAGGCCCUGUGUCCAUGGUUCGUAGUCUCCUGCAGUUCAAGAAUCUCUGUCCAGGCUGGCUGCCACCCCUUCACUCCUUCCUCAUGGGCUGUUGCAACAUCCUCAGUGCCUCCUCCCUGCCCCUCCGAAGGCAUCUGGCCAAGGGGGAGGAACAGACCUGUUGUUGGGGUUGGACAGACCUGUGUUCAGGUGCGACUUAGCCGUCUCCACAGCAUGUGUCCUUGGGCAGGUAACAUAAAGCUGCUCUGAGCCUCAAGUUUCUCUUCUUCUAAGUUGAUGCUGAUUCAACUACCUCACAGGUGGGUAGUGAGAUUUAAAGAAGACACACACAGAGAUUUCCAGCACAGCGCUCAGCACGUGGUUGGUGCUCCCUCAGUGGUGGUUGUUGUUAGCCACGGACCUCUUCCUUCCCAGAGCCACUCCGCACGCCUGGGCUUCAGGACUGCUCCUCUGUAACCCUCCUUUGUUGCUCUCCUGGACAAAAUGCCUCAGUAGCACCCUGAUUCUUUUUGUCUCACUCCUCAAUGCCUCUUACUGAAUUUCGGUCCUCUCGCUUCAUUAGCUCUGCGCUCCACACUCUGUAUUCAUAUCUCCUCACUCGCUUACAACAAUGCCGAGAUUACUCAUGCUUCUGCUUGCCAUAUCCUCCUUUGUUGACCUGGUGAACUCCUACUUGAUCUUUGAUACCCAGCUCUUCUGGGCUGUCUUCUCUCUCAUCCUGCCCAGGAGAUCUUCCUCCCUCUGGGCUGUCCCGGCACCCUCUUUGUGCCUUCACGAGAGCACACGUCAGGUUGGAUCACAGAAAUUUGCCUCUGCACCUGUUUAUCCUGCUAAACUAUGAACAACUCAAGUGAUCAUGUCUUAGUCAUCUUUGGACUUGCCCCAGUGAUGAACUCAGUACUUACACAGGGCAUGACACGUAGUAGAUGCUCAGUCAGCACGUGACCGAACUUGACUCAUCGAGUCCUCGCUAGUCUCUUUGGUGUGAACUCAACAACACCCAGGUUUGUCCACAGCGCCUGGGCCAGGUGUACGCACAGUGGACUCUCAGUGUGAAUAACUGCACCAUUAUAUGUCGUUUGGUUAGGUGUAGUAAUAGCAGUAGUAAUAAUAAUAAUAAUCAGUAUUUGGCAUUUGUUGAAUGCCUAAGAUGUACCAGUUUCCAUGCUAAGUACUUUAAAUUCAUUCUCAUGUACUCCUCAUAUAACAAUAUGUUAUUGUCUUCAUUUUACAGGGGAAAAAUCUGAAGCACAGAAAAGUUAAAUGACUAGAUCAAGGUCACACAGAUAAUUUGUGAUGGGUUGAGGAUUUGAGCUCAAGCCCAUCAGAUUCUAGAGUCUAUAUUUCAGUCACCCUAUAAAAAGCUACCUGUGUUACUUAC